GUCAGCUUCUUCAGCUGCGCCCUGGUCUCAUCGCCCUUCUCGAACUUGUUGUCGACGCUCACGACGUCCAGCUAUUCUCACAGUGGAAGUGAAGACAAGGUUAGUGCAAAAUACUGCAUCUGAGGUCUCAGAUCUUGUUGAUAAGUUGGGUAUCAGAUGCACGAUAAUCUGAGUUUCUAGAUCCUUGCAAUGGUUUGUCCGUGCCAUGGUGCUUAGCGGGAAGAAUGGAGCUUACCGGCAGCAUAACGUAGACUUGGACAUAGUUGGCUAGCAUGUUCCCAGCCAUUGCGGCUGCUGGCUACAAACACUGGUUUGCGUGCUCACUCACUCACCGAGCUUGGUUUGCUGGGUGUUGCAGGGGAGCUCGAGGGGUCUAUUUAUACUGCGAAAGAGGGAGGAGGAGGGCGGGUCCUUCUCCAGCGAGGCGAGGUGAACUGCUUGGUUUUGGUUACCGCUCACAGCCCCAGCUUCAGGGUUGAUAUCAUAUUUUCCUUGUCACUAGGAGAAGAUUGGGUAUCUGAGUGUUCUGAUUCGUUCACGUGUGUUUAGAGCGGCAAGCCAACAGUAUAUCAGGUUUAAAUACGUUAUCCGGGGAAAAAAAUACAGGGUCGUCACGUAUGUACGACUAGGACAAAGUUCUCAUUGUCUCUGGAUUCUGGCAAAAGCCGAAGCCACGAGCCCAUAAAAUAGUUCCUAUGUUUCUUUUUACUUCGCAUAUAAAAUUUGUUUAAAGUCAAACUAAGCAAAAUUUGACCAAAUUUAUCUUAAAAAUAUCAACAUCUACAAAAUUAUAUAGCUUGAAAAUUUAUUUCAUGAUGCAUCUAAUGAUAUUGACUUCGUAUUGUUAAUAUUGACAUUACUUUGUUAUAAAGUUGGUCAAACUUUAUAAAGUUUAACUUAAGACAAAUUGUAUAUGCAGACUAAAAAGAAAUGAAGGGGGUAUUUUUUCUGUUUAUAAGCCAAGUGCAAAAGUAAAAAAAAAUAAACUCAAUCAAACACCCUCUAAUAUGUGGUGAUUUGAGAGCCAUGUGUGGUCGCCCACCUCACCCCCUCCAUCGACAGGCGUGCGCUCUGGCGAUUGAUGACGAAGAG
rnacentral:lncRNA from 1 species